GGACGGCAAUCUGACACUCAGGGACGAAAGUUAGGGGAGCGAAUGCGGAUUAGAUACCCCGGUAGUCCUAGCUGUAAACGAUGGAUACUAGGUGUAGCUUGUAUCGACCCGAGCUGUGCGGAAGCUACCCGCGCUAAGUAUCCCGCAAGGCGGAGUACGCACGCAAGUGUGAAACUCAAUGGAAUUGAGGGGGGCCCAUACAAGCGGUGGAGUAUGUGGUUUAAUUUGAUGCAACGGGAAGAACGAUACCAGGGCGCGACAUGUCUGGUAUCGCGGUGAUAGGCAGGAAUGCAUUCGGGAGCUGGAACACAGGUGGUGUCAAGACCUAGUGGUAUUAACCCUGUGAGAUUUUUGGUUAAGUCCCGCAACGAGCACAACCCUGGUCUUUAUUACCCAGCAGGCAGUGGGGCAUUAGGGAGUGACCCCUGGUGCCAAACUGGACGAAGGUGGGGACGAUGUCAAUUCAGCAUGCCCCUCACUCUCUGGGUGACACAUCAUCCUCAAUGGUCGGGACAGAGUGCUGGGAACGUUAGAAGGCAAGCUAAUCCCCGCAAUAUUGGCAUCAGUUCAGAUCGCAGGCGAGAACUCGCAGGCCGAAGGAGGAAUCUAGGAUAUUUGCCGGUCAGAAUAGAGUUUGUGAAUCCGUUCCCGGGCCUCAGCACACCGCCCCUCACACCAUCAAGCGGGCCACACCCGAAGUCGUUACCGGAACCUUUCGGGGAAGGGCACGC
rnacentral:rRNA from 1 species